AGAAUGUAGCUUAACUAAAGUCUUUCGCUUACACCGAACCCAUGCCUGAUAACCUCAGGUCAUUCUG
rnacentral:tRNA from 1 species